UACGUAGGGUGCAAGCGUUAAUCGGAUUUACUGGGCGUAAAGCGCGCGCAGGCGGCAUGGCAAGUAAGGUGUGAAAUCCAUCUGCUCAACGGGUGGGGUGCACUUUAGACUGCCAAGCUAGAGGUCGGUAGAGGGGGGUGGAAUUGCUGGUGUAGCGGUGAAAUGCGUAGAGAUCAGCAGGAACACCCGUGGCGAAGGCGGCCCCCUGGGCCGUACCUGACGCUGAGGCGCGAAGGCUAGGGGAGCGAACGGG
rnacentral:rRNA from 1 species